rnacentral:rRNA from 1 species
GUGGGGAAUCUUGCGCAAUGGGCGAAAGCCUGACGCAGCCAUGCCGCGUGAAUGAUGAAGGUCUUAGGAUUGUAAAAUUCUUUCACCGGGGACGAUAAUGACGGUACCCGGAGAAGAAGCUCCGGCUAACUUCGUGCCAGCAGCCGCGGUAAUACGAAGGGGGCUAGCGUUGCUCGGAAUUACUGGGCGUAAAGGGCGCGUAGGCGGACAGCUUAGUCAGAGGUGAAAGCCCAGGGCUCAACCUUGGAAUUGCCUUUGAUACUGUCUGUCUUGAGUUUGGGAGAGGUGAGUGGAACUCCGAGUGUAGAGGUGAAAUUCGUAGAUAUUCGGAAGAACACCAGUGGCGAAGGCGACUCACUGGCCCAAUACUGACGCUGAGGCGCGAAAGCGUGGGGAGCAAACAGGAUUAGAUACCCCUGUAGUCC